rnacentral:lncRNA from 1 species
AUUUACACAGUGUAGUAGUUACUUAGCACUAAAUGUUGGUUUUUUCCACAGCCACCAGAUAAUCCCACCCGGUCCUUUUUUGGAGGAACCUAAUACAUCUGAAACAUUGCCAAGAGAUUACCAGCCUGGCAAAUUCAUGCUUUAAUAGUAGAUGUGCUUUAUAUAUAUAUAUAUACCACAAAUCUUCUGUUUAGUAAUGAAUUAUCUAAACAAUUAUCUGCCACAUUUACUACUGUGAUGUCGUUAAACAAUUACCACAUUUGCUUGCAGUAAGGAUCCAGGUUACAUCAAAAGAGCAGGGGAUUUCAGCAAUCCUAUAAAUACAGAGGUAUGCAAUGUUUCUGUUUAGUCUUUAUCAUCUAUGUUCAAAAUAAGUAGUCUUCUGAUGACUAACCGUAACAAUUUCUAUUUAUUCAUUUAUUUUCUUUUCUGAAGCCAUCAGUUUCUCUAAAACAGAAGGUGGUAGGCAUGAAACUUAUUUUGAACUUAUUUAGGUCGAUAGUUUGAAUCUCAUCUGAUGGAAAAAUGUUAAGUGCAUCUUUUAUGACAGCAUCACAUAUGCAUAAGUAAAAAAAUCGUGUAUCACAAGAUUUGGAUGAAACGGAACUGAGAGAGGUCCAAAAUCAAGGAAUUGUCAUGUAAAGAAAACUCUACUCCUUCCCAUCAAAAUUUUCAAUGAUCCUUGUUUUUGUUUCCAACCACAGCACUGAAAGCUAAGCUAUUGAUCUGCAACUACAGAAGACUUUCACCUUCUUCCCCAAACUCAAAGAUCAAUUAUUCUGAUAGAACAAAAGAACCCUUGAUUUUGGAAUUAUGCAAGACAAGUCAGUCUCCCUCAGCAAUAUAUAUGCGACCAGGCAAUAAAUGACCCAUAUAAUGCAAUUGAAAAAUAAUGAUGUCACAAGACAUGCUCGAGUUUUUAAACCUACAUAUUCUGCGUGCAUAUGUGGUAAAAACAAUUUUACUCUGUAUGUGGCAGUGUUCAGAAAUGCAGCUCCAGAUGGGGCCUUGCUGACUUAUAUACUUGUGUAACUGAGCUUACUAAUAGGGCACCAACAUUUUUCAGGAUCCUUUGUUGAAUAUUGCUUUAAACAAUUCCUCUGUAUGGAUGGGAAAUUGGUCUCAACUUUGCCCCACUUGCACGGUUAACUUGAUGUCCUAUUUUCUUUCAAAGAGGAUACUAAAUAUAAUAAUAUAUUUGGAUAUUUCUUUAUGGUGCACAUGAUUAUUGUGUAUUUGAUUAAUGUCAUGUUUUUCUGACGUUCUUUUGUUUCAGAUAAUUAGACCUGUUCGCUCUAAACACUGCCCCACAUGUAACCGAUGUGUAGAACAGUUUGACCAUCAUUGUCCAUGGAUAUCUAAUUGUGUUGGAAAGGUAAGUAGUGCUAACUUCUUAUCAUAGUCCAACUCAGUAUAACUAUGUUAUGGAUUCUUGAGGUCACAUUUGUUUCCACCAGCUUCACCGCCUCUUAAUUUGCUUCUUGCAGAGAAACAAACGGGAUUUCUUUAUAUUUAUCUGCUUAGGAACUUUGACGUCACUCCUUUCUACUGCCGUUGCAGUUCAAAGUAUGUGGGUAGCAGACAUUAUGAACUUUGCGUUGAACUAUUUGUUUCAUUUUUUUACUAGAUGACAGCUGUCUUUUCCUGAUGACAGGGAUUUGGAGUGCAUUGCCGGGAUUGCAAACAGAAGAAACAUGGAUUCGUCGUGUGGUAGUUCAAUAUCCUAGUAUUGUUGCUUUUCUGUUUGUGGACAUAAUCAUUUUGAUAGCUGCUACAACCCUAACGAAGGCACAGGCAACUCAGGUAAUUGAUGGAACCCUUGCUACAUAAUGUUAGCUUAAGUUAGCAAAAGACAAAACAUGUGUUCCUCCGAAAAUGUGAAAACUACAUCUACUGAGAUGGGAAUCAUACUCUUGAAAUGGAUUAACUAGCAUUCUGUUGCAUUCAAGGAUUAGCCAGCUCAUACGGUCUUUAAUUUGGAAGACAAUUUAUUUUUUGUUUACCUCCCUUUCCUUCUUUCUUGAGAUUUUUCCUUUUGCGGUGGUAUAAAUAUCGAUUGAAGAACUCGUUAAGUUAUGGGAAAAGAAUGUGGGAGCAGAUAGCAAUUGAUAAGAAAGUUAUGCCCCUUUUGGCAUCCUGUUGAGAAUACUAGCAAGAGAAACGAAAAUGGCCAUGAAGACUAAUUAAUGAAUUGGAUGUUGCAAAAUUUGGCUCUCUUUUUUGUAGUUAAAGUUAGUUUUCUUUACUAUUUUGUACCUGCACAUUGGUAUGUUUUUUUGAAUUUGACCCCUUCAUUAGUCUAAUUUUCACAGAUGUACUUACAGUAAUUGCCUUUUAAACUCUUCUAAGUUAGUGAGACUAGACUGAUUAUGUUGUUUCAUCUCUGAAACAGAUAGCUCGAAAUAUCACCACCAAUGAAUUGGCAAAUGCUAAUCGUUAUGGGUAUCUUCGCGGUCCAGAUGGGCGGUUCCAAAACCCGUAUAACCAUGGGUGCAGAAAAAUUGUUCUGAUUUUCUGAUUCAGGGCCACACUGAUGAUGAUGAAAUUGCCUGGUCUCCAUUGCAGCAGGUUGCCAGUUAGUACUCAGAACGUUAAUCGGUCCUCUCCAUUGUCCCAGGCUACGGAUGACGCUUGGCGUUCCACCUGUAUUUGCUUGUAUCUAGGUUACCCAAUUCGUAUACAUAAUUCC